ensembl:lncRNA
AAAGAACAUGCAGUACUAGCAGUCAAAUAACAUGUAGUACUAGCAGUAACAGAACAUGUAGUACUAGUAGUAACAGAACAUGUAGUACUAGCAGAAACAGAACAUGUAGUACUAGCAGUAACAUAACAUAUAGUACUAGCAGAAAGAGAACAUGUAGUACUAGUAGCAACAUAACAUAUAGUACUAGCAGAAACAUAACAUAUAGUACUAGCAGAAACAUAACAUAUAGUACUAGUAGUAACAGAACAUGUAGUACUAGUAGCAACAUAACAUAACAUGCAGUACUAGCAGCAACAGUGGACGCAAAUAUUCUCCCCAACUGAAUAUUGGACAAGUUCAAAAUUCCAAGUCAAUCAAAUUGUUGACAGUUAUCCAAAGUAGAUGAAGAAAUGGACAAACAACAGGGGACGUGUCAGAACAUGUCUAAGGGAAUAUGGCUACAAGCAACGACAGCUCACGAGGGUAAAACCAGUAAAUGUGACAUCAAGACGGUAAAUGUAGUCACGGUAACGCAGGGCUGUGUAAAUGUAGUCACGGUAACGCAGGGCUGUGUAUAUGUAGUCACUGUAACGCAGGGCUGUGUAUAUGUAGUCACUGUAACGCAGGACUGUGUAUAUGUAGUCACUGUAACGCAGGACUGUGUAUAUCUAGUCACGGUAACGCGUGUGUCUCUGUGUGUGUGUGUAUUGUUCCUGGUUGUCCGAUUACUUCCUCAGUUCCUGCGGAGGCCCCUCCCCCAAAUGUAGUCCUCCAGACCCCAUAGCUCUACCAUGGCCUUGUCCAGAGUCGCCCUCUCGGACAGCUCAACCACCUGCACAACCAUAGAGGGAACAGAGAGAUGGUGUUAGCUGGAGGAACCUGUCUGUGCUUCUGCUUCGCUUGCUCUUUAGGUUUAGGCUGGGUAACUAUAGAGACCGUUAGGCUGGGUAACUAUAGAGACCUUUAGGCUGGGUAACUAUAGAGACCUUUAGGCUGGGUAACUACAGAGACCUUUGGGUUUAGGCUGGGUAACUAUAGAGACCUUUAGGUUUAGGCUGGGUAACUGUAGAGCUCUUUAGGUUUAGGCUGGGUAAAUGUAGAGCCCAUUAGGUUUAGGGUUAGGGUUAGGGUUAGGCUGGGUAACUAUAGAGACCUUUAGGUUUAGGCUGGGUAACUACAGAGACCUUUAGGUUUAGGCUGGGUAACUAUAGAGACCUUUAGGUUUAGGCUGGGUAACUACAGAGACCUUUAGGUUUAGGCUGGGUAACUAUAGAGACCUUUAGGUUUAGGCUGGGUAACUAUAGAGACCUUUAGGCUGGGUAACUACAGAGACCUUUAGGCUGGGUAACUAUAGAGACCUUUGGGUUUAGGCUGGGUAACUAUAGAGACCUUUAGGUUUAGGCUGGGUAACUACAGAGACCUUUAGGCUGGGUAACUAUAGAGACCUUUAGGUUUAGGCUGGGUAACUAUAGAGACCUUUGGGUUUAGGCUGGGUAACUAUAGAGACCUUUGGGUUUAGGCUGGGUAACUAUAGAGACCUUUAGGUUUAGGCUGGGUGACUAUAGAGACCUUUGGGUUUAGGCUGGGUAACUAUAGAGACCUUUAGGUUUAGGCUGGGUAACUAUAGAGACCUUUAGGCUGGGUAGCUACAGAGACCUUUAGGUUUAGGCUGGGUAACUAUAGAGACCUUUAGGCUGGGUAACUACAGAGACCUUUGGGUUUAGGCUGGGUAACUACAGAGACCUUUAGGUUUAGGCUGGGUAACUAUAGAGACCUUUAGGUUUAGGCUGGGUAACUACAGAGACCUUUAGGUUUAGUCUGGGUAACUACAGAGACCUUUGGGUUUAGGCUGGGUAACUACAGAGACCUUUGGGUUUAGGCUGGGUAACUAUAGAGACCUUUAGGCUGGGUAACUAUAGAGACCUUUAGGUUUAGGCUGGGUAACUAUAGAGACCUGUAGGUUUAGGCUGGGUAACUAUAGAGACCUGUAGGUUUAGGCUGGGUAACUACAGAGACCUUUAGGUUUAGGCUGGGUAACUAUAGAGACCUGUAGGUUUAGGCUGGGUAACUACAGAGACCUUUAGGUUUAGUCUGGGUAACUAUAGAGACCUUUGUGACAAAAAUACUUCUGAUGUAAAAAAAACAAAAGGGCCUUCUAAAAUAAAAAUGGAUUGAUUGAGGAACCUAGAAACAAGCUAUUAAGGCCAGUCCAUGACACGUGCUUGCACAGUGUGUAGCUGUAACACACAGUGAUGUUCUCUGUAGCCCAUCUGGAGUGUUAUUGAUGUGUGAUCACUGGUGAUGAAGAGGUAACGUGGAACCACACCUUUUUACUGGCUGCCUUCAGUCUCUGCAGCUGCAGUAUGGCUGCAUCCUUCGACAGCAGCUCCACAUCUUCCUCUAUCUUAGACUGGGGAAAUAAAACACAAUAAGUUUUAAAAAGAUAUAUUAGGUUGUCGUUCAUUACCUCAUGCUGACCUGUCCCCGUGUGGUUGUUUAAUUGCGGUUGAAGCAUGUUUUAACGUCCUUUUGUGUUUGAUUGUCAGCGCCGUCCUGUGUUUACCUCAUUCACUGGCUUCCCAGCAGCUUCCUGGUUUAGCUUUUCACAGAUGUUUACCUGCAAUCAAUCAAUCAGCCAAUCAAACAAUCAGCCAAUCAAACAAUCAGCCAAUCAAACAAUCAGCCAAUCAAACAUUCGUAUCUAUUAAAAAAAAUGUUUUUCAAACUUGUACUUUGUCAGAUGUUGUCAUAAAUUGCUUUGACAGAUUUAGUGUGAGAGUCUUCUAAACAGACACUAGCUGGGUUACAGAGCAGUGUAACAUAAUCACUGAAACACAAAAAAAGGGGCCACAGGAAAUCCUGUCUGUGUUUGAGUCUCUACCGUCACAGAGAGGUGGUUCAUGCAAUUCACAUAGGAAGUGUCCCCCCAAAACAAAUGGCACCCUAUUUCAUAUAUAGUGCACUACUUUUAACCAGAGCCCUAUGGACCCUGGUCAAAAGUAGUGCACUAUGUAGGGAAUAGGGUGCCAUUUGGGAGGCAGUUCUAAUGUUUGAGACACUUACUGGGUGAACGCAUUCCUUCACUUCAUCCAGCAGGCCUCCGAGGUCAGGAUAAUUUCUGUCUUGUCUCUGGAGAACUUCCCGAUAAAAGUCCAGGAUUUUGAGCAGGACACAGCCGUGGUACUGGACAUGAGAGAGAACAGGAGACAUUGUGUUUUAGUAAAUGUGCUGCCGAGGUCGAGCACGAUGGACAUGGUGUCGAUGGAACUUCUUCAUUGCACUCAUUCGUCUCAGACUCAUGCAGGAUCCCAGAGCGCCAACAGAUCAAUCAAUCAAAUGUAUUUUUUAUGAAGCCCUUUACACAUCAGCAGAUGUCACACAAAGUGUUUUACAGAAACCGGGUGUAAAACCCCGAAGAGCAAAGCUAUGCAGA